rnacentral:rRNA from 1 species
GUGGGGAAUUUUGGACAAUGGGCGCAAGCCUGAUCCAGCAAUGCCGCGUGCAGGAAGAAGGCCUUCGGGUUGUAAACUGCUUUUGUACGGAACGAAACGGUCCUGGUUAAUACCUGGGGCUAAUGACGGUACCGUAAGAAUAAGCACCGGCUAACUACGUGCCAGCAGCCGCGGUAAUACGUAGGGUGCGAGCGUUAAUCGGAAUUACUGGGCGUAAAGCGUGCGCAGGCGGUGCUGUAAGACAGGCGUGAAAUCCCCGGGCUCAACCUGGGAAUUGCGCUUGGGACUGCAGUGAUGGAGUACGGCAGAGGGGGAUGGAAUUCCGCGUGUAGCAGUGAAAUGCGUAGAUAUGCGGAGGAACACCGAUGGCGAAGGCAAUCCCCUGGGCCUGCACUGACGCUCAUGCACGAAAGCGUGGGGAGCAAACAGGAUUAGAUACCCUGGUAGUCC